GGUACGCCACGAAUCCCCUCCUCCUCCUCUUGGGCCCCGAAUCGGAGCUCGGCGACAUCGAUUUGAUUCGAUUGGGAGGGAUCGAUGUUGUUCUUGCAGGAACCUGAUGACGACGUCGGCGGACGAGGGGCAAUUCCUGAACCUGCUGCUGAAGCUCAUCGGCGCCAAGAAGACCAUGGAGAUCGGCGUCUACACCGGCUACUCCCUCCUCGCCACCGCCCUCGCCAUCCCCGACGACGGCACGGUCAGCAACACGCAAAUCCCCCAUCUCUUCCAUCGCAGAUCUGGCAAGAAAUCCCCAAUCGAUUGACGUCCAUCCCUCUGCUAACUAAUGCAGAUCUUGGCGAUGGACAUCAACCGGGAGAACUACGAGCUGGGGCUCCCGUCGAUCGAGAAGGCGGGAGUGGCGCACAAGAUCGACUUCCGGGAGGGACCCGCGCUGCCGGUGCUGGACCAGCUGGUGGAGGAGGAGGGCAACCAUGGGUCGUUCGACUUCGUGUUCGUCGACGCCGACAAGGACAACUACCUCAACUACCACGAGCGGCUGAUGAAGCUGGUCAAGGUCGGCGGCCUCGUCGGCUACGACAACACGCUCUGGAACGGCUCCGUCGUGCUCCCCGCCGACGCCCCCAUGCGCAAGUACAUCCGCUACUACCGCGACUUCGUGCUCGAGCUCAACAAGGCCCUCGCCGCCGACCACCGCGUCGAGAUCUGCCAGCUCCCCGUCGGCGACGGCAUCACCCUCUGCCGCCGCGUCAAGUGAGCCCGCC
rnacentral:lncRNA from 1 species